GACGAACGCUGGCGGCGUGCUUAACACAUGCAAGUCGAGCGGUAAGGCCCUUUCGGGGGUACACGAGCGGCGAACGGGUGAGUAACACGUGGGUGACCUGCCCUUAGCUCUGGGAUAAGCCUGGGAAACUGGGUCUAAUACCGGAUAUGACUCCAUGACGCAUGUUGUGGGGUGGAAAGCCUUGUGCGGCUAGGGAUGGGCCCGCGGCCUAUCAGCUUGUUGGUGGGGUGAUGGCCACCAAGGCGACGACGGGUAGCCGGCCUGAGAGGGCGACCGGCCACACUGGGACUGAGACACGGCCCAGACUCCUACGGGAGGCAGCAGUGGGGAAUCUUGCGCAAUGGGCGAAAGCCUGACGCAGCGACGCCGCGUGGGGAGUGACGGCCU
rnacentral:rRNA from 1 species